GAUGAACGCUGGCGGCGUGCCUAACACAUGCAAGUCGAGCGAUUCUCUUCGGAGAAGAGCGGCGGACGGGUGAGUAACGCGUGGGUAACCUGCCCUGUACACACGGAUAACAUACCGAAAGGUAUGCUAAUACGAGAUAAUAUGCUUUUAUCGCAUGGUAGAAGUAUCAAAGCUUUUGCGGUACAGGAUGGAACCGCGGCUGAUUAGCUAGUUGGUAAGGUAACGGCUUACGAAGGCGACGAUCAGUAGCCGACCUGAGAGGGUGAUCGGCCACAUUGGAACUGAGACACGGUCCAAACUCCUACGGGAGGCAGCAGUGGGGAAUAUUGCACAAUGGGCGAAAGCCUGAUGCAGCAACGCCGCGUGAGCGAUGAAGGCCUUCGGGUCGUAAAGCUCUGUCCUCAAGGAAGAUAAUGACGGUACUUGAGGAGGAAGCCCCGGCUAACUACGUGCCAGCCGCCGCAGUAA
rnacentral:rRNA from 1 species